rnacentral:tRNA from 1 species
UCUUUUUUAGUUCACAACAUUCUUGUCCAAAGGUUUUAUUUUUAUUUUGGAAAGAAAGAA